rnacentral:rRNA from 1 species
GGAUGCGAUCAUACCAGCACUAAAGCACCGGAUCCCAUCAGAACUCCGAAGUUAAGCAUGCUUCGGCGAGAGUAGUACUAGGAUGGGUGACCUCCUUUGAAGUCCUCGUGUUGCAUUCC